CUAGAAAAAAAGGGCGGGGGAGGGAAGAGAGCGAGAGAGGGAAAAAAAAAGGAAGAGAAGCACAAAAUGUAUUGCUGUUCAAUCCAUGCUGUCAUGGGUGAGUACUGGUGAAUGAAAAAAGGCAAGCUGUCAGGAUUAUAAUGCCUACCCACAACACAGAGCAAACCCAGAGACAGAGAAGCUACUGGAUCAGCCACUGAUUGUGAAAUGGUUGUGUCUCAGAUGAAGUACAGCAGUUGCCACGUCUCUGUGCUCUUGGCUUUAAGUUCACCUGACACUCAACCUAAGACCAGGCAUCCAAUCUCACCCUUGAAACUCCUUCAUUACCAUCAGCACUUCCCUUGCAUGUCCCACACCCUUGUACACCUCAAAACUUCUUCUGAAGCAGAACGUGCUCCUUUACAUUCAAACCAAAGCCAUCAUAUACUCUAAACAGAGGUCAAGGAAGAAGACAGGUUUUCAAGAAAUGGCAUUUAACAUCACUGUCCCCCAGUGAUAACUUCUUCCAUUUUGCUUGUAAAAAGAUACCUUACCUGUCACUGCCUUUCCAUCCAUGUCAGUGACAGAUAGCACAAGCUGUUAAACCCAGGUAUCUGGGUAAGGCAAGGGCUUACCCAGAACACAGAGAAGCUUUUGUAAGUAAGACCUCAGAUUUCGAAGUGCCUUUUGGAGAUAAAGUACAAGUGUCAUCAGAUAAAAUCUGUGUUUUUUGAUGCGGGAGUCAAAGAAAAGGUGAAUUGUUCCUCAAAGUAACAGGCAAAGGCACAGGUACUAGGGAUGAGGAACACAUCAGUCCCAAUUUCUAAACUUGGUAUCAAUCAGUUAAAUAUUUUCAUGGAGAAAGUAACCAAGGAAUGUGACAACACCCACAGUGGUGGUACACAGCCCAGACCUUAGGACACUCAGCUAUUGCCUAAAUCCAGGCUCAGAUGCUGUCACAGCCUCAGAUGCAAGCCCUUGGCUGUCAGCUCUGAAGGGGAUCCAAACCUUUGGGGGAAUGGUGGAACUCUUCACAGCGACUUAGUCACAGGAACCUCUCUCCCCUCUCCCUCUGCUGCCUGAGAGCUUCCUCACGGCAUUAAAGACUCAUCAUACCUGCUGCCACUGGAGGGUGAGUUUGUCUCUUCUAAUGAAGGUAAUCAUUUGCAUGAAUGAAUAAAUGUCACUUUGAGCCUUAGUUUUCUACAUUUGACCACAUCACUAAGGGCGUGCUCACAUGUUGCAGUCGUAAUAGCCUGGCCCUGAGAAGCUUUUUCUGAUGGAAGUAAAAAAAAAAAAAAAAUCAACGUGGAUUUUCUCUAUGUAAAGAUGGAGUUUCAACCAAUUGAUAUGCCCUGACAACAGUCAAAAGAUUCCUGACAAGCUUUAAGCUUUAUCCAAUCCACAGAUUAUUUAGCUCAGCACUUCUCAUCUGGUAUUCCUCCACAAUCUUUCCUCAUGAGGAUGGUUUACUUUUCAGAUAUCCCAGACAAAGAUACAUUUAUCUGAUACCCCUGUAGCACACAGCCACACCAACACCCACACAUAGGCAUAAACUGAGUACAGGCACCACCUGCUACCAGUCUUCAAACCCAAACCACGCUCACAUACUGAGGAAGUGAAAAGUCAUGCAAGGCUGUGAGGCCAGGAGCUUCUGGGACAGAAGGACCUACUAUCUAGACCUUCCUGCCCCUUCUGUGCUAUCACUUCAUGUUGUUAUGUGGAGGGUGGAACAAGUAUUGAUGCCAGACCAAAGCUGAAAAGACUCAAAAAAAAUCCCCUGGAAGACUCCAAACCCAACUUAUUAAAAUGUUUUAUUAUACAAACUAUCCAGAGCACAUGAUACAGUGUCUAUGCUGACUUCAUGCCAGCUUUAUCCUGAUUGAAGGGGAGCAGAAAAUACACCCAUGAGCAUAAAGGUGAAAUGGCAGUCAGAAAAAUUAAAAAUUAAUAGAAACGUGUCAGUACAGGAAUAAUACCUCAAACUUUGUGAAAAGAGUGCAGAAUGAGCUGAAGUUGGAACAGUGUACCACAGCAUAUGGCCACAGCUUUCUCUGAUGUGAUACAGGAGAGUUCUCAAAACCAAAUUAAAUAACAUCACUGGACUGUGGCUGCUAAAGAAGAAUUUCCUACCAGCUAAUGAAGGCAUCACCACUCCAAUCCAAGAUCGCGAUCCUGAAGAAAAUUCACAGCUAAACUGGGGGACAUUUUCCUUUAGCCCUACAUUUCCUUGAGCUCACAGACUGCCAUUAAAGGCUACCAAAGCCUUUGGUGAAAGAAGACAUGCAGAGACACCCUGUGGUGGCAAAAUAAUAUGAUCAGAAUUAGUUCCAACAGCUGAAAAUUCAUUUAAGACACACAAGUGGAUCAGAAAAGCUGCAUCGUGCGGACACCAAGAAAUUCUCCCAAGUUGCUAUUCAUGUAAUUUCCUCUCUCCAGACAUCCUUUCCUCUCUGGCAUCUUUUACUCUGUGUGUUUGCAUGACAGUCCCUGCCACAAAGAUUUUACCUCUUAUUCUGUUUGGUACUUUUACUCCAGAGGACAACAGCUGAAUCACGGCUGCGACAGUUGGAGGGAUGGCCAUGGAAAUGCUCUGCUUUUGGAAGAGAGUUUCCUGCAUCUUCAGCCUGCCAGUCUUGGGUAGGGAAAACAAUCAGUCUUUUGUAAACUGUUGCUGUUGGUUUUUUUACCCCAUUCAUAAUUCAUAUUUUGUCCUGAAGUCAAAUUUUAUCUAUGAAGGCAGUUUCAGAGCCAUCAAUAUACAGCUCAGGACAUCCAGAAAUGAAAGACAUCAACAACCAGCAUCUGUGCAGAUCAGUUUUGGCAUCUGAAGUCUUGCAGGUACUACACCUUGCUUAUAAUGAACUAAAGAUAACCUACAGAUACAACAAUGAGGUUCCUGAAAAUGUUGUCCAUUGCUGAUAUAUGAUCUUCAUCUGAAGGAAACAUAUUUUCUCCCAGAUCUGCAAGUACGAUCCCCAUUUUAAAGAGUCAUUAACAAAACAACUCCAACAGUGCUAGAUAAGAAAGGUGAGAACAAUUGGUUGGUAGAUAGAAAGCAAUGGUAGUCAAGUUUCACAAGAUUUAAGCAGAGAAGAAAAGCAAGGCAAAUAAAUCAAUUAUUCAAAUACUGGGUAUUCAGAUCUGAUUUGGCAACACUUUUAAACAGAUAGUUAAAGUAUAGAAGGAUUUCCCCUCACAUCAUUAGAACUAAUUAUACUCCCCAUAGCCAGACAAAUUCAUCUUUAAAAGAGAAAUUAAAUACUGUACAUGUCCAAAGUAUAAUUUUUCAAAAAUUGUCUAAAAGGCUUAAAAAAAGAUCUGAGUAUCUUCAGUGCUUUGUUACCAAUUUUUACAUGUUUAUUUUUGAUGUUACAUUUUCUUCUCUUGAUCUUUUAGACAAGUGGUAUCAGUACUGAAAGACCCUUCAGUGAGAAGCCUUUGAAGCUCCCUUCUCAGAAGCAAGGUAGAUGUCUGCCUCCCCAGUUGCUGAUUUUAUUAGACACAGAUUGUUCUGUUCUGCAGAGCUUCACCUCAGCACCACUGUUUGCCUAAAAUGGGUCUUGAAUUUGCAGAUUAUUUUGUCACCAAUUAAACCCCAAAGUUAAUUGUGAGGUGUGUAAAUUUUCUUUCAUUCACAACUUCUAUUCCUUCACAUCUUAGUAAUACUUUAGUGACAGCUUCCUUUUACAGGUCAGUGAAAUCUUUGUAAUUCCUUUCAUAAAUGGUCUUUUCUGCCAUUUCUGUGGGAUAUACAAGUCCGACUUACCUGGGUUCUGUUAAAACACUGGGUCUCUCAUGACCAAGCCUGAGCAGCAAGGUGUGUCUCUAUGUUCCUUCAAGGAAUUUACAGUUUCUUGUUAAUGUGUAUUACCAGGUAAUUUUGGUAAAUGAUUAUAACACAACUUAAAACUGUUUCAAGGUGUGAUCCUGCAAAGCAUUUGUGCAGUCAGUCCCAGUCGCUCUUGCCUGUGUGUGUCCUAAGGUAUGAACUGGUUAUGGAGAACUGUACUUAAAAGGCUGGGAGAGACUGAGGGGAGAGCAGCAUACAAGGAGAGAAAAGAUGAAGAGUAAAAGCAGAAAAGUUCAAAAUGAUUGUCAGUUUUGUUUUUAAGCCCACAGACUUUGUGUUAUUUCGUACAGAAGAUUUGUGGAAAAUAUUUUUAACAGGCAGGAAUAAGACAAUAGACAUAGGAGGGGGUGAACAUGACCCUCCAAGUCAAGCAACCAAAAGUUAAUGAAAUUACCAAGUAUCAAAUGUAGCACAGAGAGACUAAUUCAAUCAGAGAGGCCAAAGGGAUAAUUCUUGGAGACAAAGCAUCACAACGCGGAAAUGCAGCCUAAUCAACUGCUUUAUCAAAAGAAAAAGGAAACAAUUUCCAAUCCUUAACUAAAAUCCCCAGUUGGUUCUUCAUCUUUUCAGGGUUCUGGUUUUUGCUUUGCAGUGUUUGUUCCAUCUCGCAUUUGUUUCACUGCUUCUUUUCUCUGCACAAAGCUGUUUCACUGGCUCCUGGCUCUUCGCUUCUAUCAAACGAGCCGCCUCUGCUCUUGGUUUAAGCAACCAGCUUCAUCAUGAAAGAGAGAAUGUAGAGGGAAAUAUUCAUUAUGUUUAAUGUCCAAGCCUACUUUCCAUAAUUACGUGGAAUAGAGCAAGAAUACCCAGAGUCACCUUGUGUCUGCAGGAUUUUUCAGAGCAGGUAUUUGCUUCAUCUGAUGGAAAGCAGCUGCUCCCUGAUCUCAACUGAACCUCCCGUGUAACCAGGACCCUUUGCAGGUAGAGUGACACAUCCAGACUUCGCCAGGUACAACAAGCAAGGGAGAGGCUUUCGAAAAGCUACUCAGACUUCUGUUUUCACCUAAGCAAGUGGUGUUGUUAUGACAGAUAAAAUGAGCUGGCACAAAGGAAAGAGGGACCUCAUGGAAGGAAGCGCAGGAGAUGGGAAGCACGGCCGAAAAAAGCGAGAGCGGCUAUUUAAGAAGAGAUUUUCUGGACUGAGCCUUUUCUCUGGGUCUCCUAAGAAUAAAUUCCCUCAGGGAAGAAGUCAGCUUUUUGAAGACAAGAGGAGAUGUUUACACAGGAAAGGCUCCAAGAAGCUGAAGCCAGCACGGGAGGAAAUCUGUUCUUUGAGGCAGCCACACUCCGGGAAAAUGUGUCCGAAAUGCGAGAUCCUCACCUGCCGGAAGUGCGAGACCCUGCACUCGGAGAGCGGCUUCAUUGCCCACAGCCUGCUCGACCACUAUGACAGGGGAGGAGCCACAGCCCACCUGUGACUGCAGAGGGGUGGUUAAAGAUCUGAUGUGGGUACCCUGCCAGUACCCAACCACAUCCCAAACGCUAAAGCUUGGAUCCCUCAGGCUCACUGGGUCUCCGGCCUGUGCAGCGUCAUCAAUUCCAGCCAUGCUGUAGCUCAUACUAUACACAGCAGAUGCACAUGCAGUAAUUUAACCAGCAUGCACCCUGCAAGCAAAGAUCUGUAAGCUAAAAGUUUCUCAGCUACUAAGGACAAGGAAUUGUUUCAGAAAUAAUCUCCAGUUUUCUUUGUUCUCUCCAGGAAACAAAAUUAUCCCACUGAGCUGCAAAGAAGGACGUGACUAUUGCAUGCAGAACACUGGGUACAUUACUCUUACUUGCAAUGCCUUGGUAUGUUUCAGUAUUGUUUGUGGUCUGGAAUAUUAAACAUUUUAUUUUUAAAUUAA